ACUUGCUGUCACUGGGUAUCAAUUAAAAUGUUAACCAGUUAGAUUAAAUAACUAGUAUGUCUAAUACUGACUAGCGACAAUAGCAACGAUUAACUGACUACUAUUGACUAAUCCCUACUAUCCAUCUGUCUAUCAUGGUGAGAGUGAUGAUGGUAGUGGCUCUAUAGAUGUUAAUCAAAAUUAACGUGGACUUUAUGAUGUCACCAGGUCCACGGAGGAAGUUUUUGAUUAAAGUAAAUCUGACUGAUAUCGGCUUCUCUGUGGAAAUGACAGACCCAGCUGUGAGGGAAUCCAUUUUGAAACAGGUUAAAAAUAAGCUGCGAGGUACAUUGGAUGACCUAAAAGUGAGUUGGUGGAUAGCUCCAGAAAAGAGAAAGGCAAAAAAGCAAGAGACCUGCAAUCCAUAGUUUACGCCUUGAAGCCUAUAAAAAUGAUGCAAUUGAUUUGUUAUUUCUCUGUCAGAUUAUAGCUGUGUUUUUGACUGUUAUUGUUUUGUUUUUGUUUGUUUGUUUUGUUUUGUUUGGGGGUUCAGUUUUUUGCUGCAAAAACUGUAAAACAAACAAAUAAUCUCUAAAAUACUGCAAACACUAGAAUUCACCAGACCCCCUGCACCGGGGGUGUGAAACAUACAGCCAGAGAGAUGUACAGUCGCAUUUAAAUGUAAGCAUGUUGGGAAAAACCGAAGAAACAACAGAAAAUGUAAAAUGAGCAUGUCAGUGAUACUGGAGACUGCAAAGCUGAGUGCAGGAUUUAUAUAAUUAGGAUAUGGAUAAAGUGAUAUCCAUUUUUAUUUUCAGCCUUUUCCAUUUUGGAGGGCAAAAGGUUUCAAACUUGUCCAGGCCUUAAAGCUCAUGUGUUCUCCCUAUUAGUAGUAAAUGCAUAAAAAUAAGGCUUUUUUAAAAUGAAAACACUGAAUAAAAACUUCUUCUUUGAAAAAGACUAAAUUUGAAAUGCAAAUUUUAUUGAAUGUUACAUUAAAAAAAACUAUAUACAAAGUGUCUUUGAAUGGCAGAGUUGCAGAAAUGUGUGCAUGUAGCACAGAGCCAUGGCUUAGUAACUGAAUCAAUCUCACAGGCCUGAAUGUGCGCUUAAAGUUUAAGCUUCAAGCUGCAACAACAGAAAAAUCCCAUCUGAGAACUUGCUACUUUAUUAGGAACGGCAAAAUCUACAGUUUGGUGCAUCCUGAGAAAGAAAGAAAGCACUGGUGAACUCAGCAACACGAAAAGACCUGGACGUCCACAGAAGACAACAGUGGUGGAUGAUCACAGAAUCAUUUCCAUGUUGAAGAGAAACCCCUUCACAACAGCCAACCUAAUGAACUCUCCGGCAAGACAGCCAGAAGCCUGUUACCAACUAUCUUUUUUUAAUGCAGGAUCCCAACACCUUCACCCAAUGCCCUCCACGGGA
rnacentral:lncRNA from 1 species